rnacentral:lncRNA from 1 species
GAAUUUAGGAAAGCCGUAUGUAGUAGGUGAGCAAGUGGACUGCCGGUGAGGUGAGGAUCAUCAGCAAAGGGAUAAUUCAGAGUUGCCAAACAAAGUUCGAUUCAGGGGCACCUUGCAUCGCAGUUAGAAAGCUCCAGUGCUGCUUCAUUGCAAGCAGAAGGAGGCUCUUUCAAAGGCACUGAAAAGGAGGGAAUGAGAGACGCUGACAGCUGAACAGAUGCCAAACGAUGUUCUACGUGAAUUCAAGGUACCUUAAAAG